GUAGGGCAUGGUGGCACACCUCUAGUCCCAGCCACUUGGGAGGCUAAGGUGGGAGGAUCGCAUGAGCCCUGGAGUUCUGGGCUAUAGAAAGUCACGCUGAUCAGGUGUCCAAACUAAGUUCGGCAUCAAUAUGGUGACCUUCUGGGAUCAGGGGACCACCAGGUUGCCUAUGGAGGGGUGAACAGAUCUGCCCAGGACAGAAAUGGAGCAGAUUAAAUAAGCCAUUUUGGUAGAAGCACAAGUGAUUUCUGGUUACUAGGCACUAACUAGGAGGGCAGAAAAGCUGUCCAGUCA
rnacentral:SRP_RNA from 1 species